rnacentral:rRNA from 1 species
CUGCGGCGUGCCUAAUGCAUGCAAGUCGAACGGGAUUCCCUGACUUCGGUUGGGGAUGAGAGUGGCGAACGGGUGAGUAACACGUAGGUGACCUGCCCUCGGUAGGGGGAUAACCAGUGGAAACGCUGGCUAAUACCCCGGAUGUUAGUCUGGUUAGAGAGGACUGACUAAAGCUACGGCGACCGAGGAGGGGCCUGCGACCCAUCAGCUAGUUGGUAGGGUAAAAGCCUACCAAGGCAAAGACGGGUAGGGGGCGUGAGAGCGUGGCCCCCCACACUGGUACUGACACACGGACCAGAUACCUACGGGUAGCAGCAGCAAGGAAUAUUGCGCAAUGGGGGAAACCCUGACGCAGNCAACGCCGCNAUGGAGGAUGAAGGCCUUCGGGUUGUAAACUCCUUUUCUGGGGGAAGAGAAAGGACGGUACCCCAGGAAUAAGGCCCGGCUAACUACGUGCCAGCAGCCGCGGUAAAACGUAGGGGCCAAGCGUUAUCCGGAAUUACUGGGCGUAAAGGGCGUGUAGGCGGUCAUGUAAGUUGGACGUGAAAGCUCCUGGCUCAACUGGGAGAGGUCGUUCAAAACUGCAUGACUAGAGGAUGGUAGAGGCGAGUGGAAUUCCGGGUGUAGUGGUGAAAUGCGCAGAUAUCCGGAGGAACACCCAGUGGCGAANGCGGCCUCCUGGGCCACUCCUGACGCUCAGACGCGAAAGCUAGGGUAGCAAACGGGGAUUAGAGACCCCGGUAGUCCUAGCUGUAAACGAUGUGAACUUGGCGUCGGUGGGAUUAAAUCCAUCGGUGUCGAA